CCUACGGGUGGCAGCAGUCGAGAAUCAUUCACAAUGGGGGAAACCCUGAUGUUGCGAGGCAGCGUGGGGGAAUGAGGUCCUUCGGAUUUUAAACCCCUGUAAUGUGGGAGCAAAUAAAAAGGAUAGUACCCCAGGAGGAGGAGAGGCCUAACUAUGUCCCAGCAGCCGCGUUACAACGGAGUCCUCAAUGGUUGUUCGGAAUCACUGGUCGUAAGGCGUCGGUAGGCGGUUUCGUAAGUCGCGUGGGAAAGGCGCGGGCUCAACCCGCGGACGGCACAUGAUACUGCGAGACUAGAGUAAUGGAGGGGGAACCGGAAUUCGCGGUGUAGCAGUGAAAUGCGUAGAUAUCGAGAGGAACACUCGUGGCGAAGGCGGGUUCCUGGACAUGAACUGACGCUGAGGCACGAAGGCCAGGGGAGCGAAAGGGAUUAGAUACCCGGGUAGUC
rnacentral:rRNA from 1 species